rnacentral:tRNA from 1 species
GCGCUGAUAGUGUAGUGGUAACACGGCAAGCUCCAACCUUGCUAUCUGGGGUUCAAGUCCUCAUCAGCGUG